rnacentral:misc_RNA from 1 species
AACUGAUUGAUUUGUUACAGAUUUGUAUUUCAUUAUUUUUAUUGUUCCGCAAUCAUAGUACAAACUGAUUUAGAUUUGAUAUUUUAAGCAUCACAUUUUUAGUUGGAAAGGGGGACAAACAUGCAACAGUCUUACUAGGGGAUGAAGAGUGUAAAUAGCAUUUGAUUUUGAGCACGAAUAUGAGUUAUAGUUACAAGCAUAUCUGAGUAGGCUUUGUUACAACCUCCGUCUACUGGUUACAUAAUAUGAAGGAAAAUAAGUUUUAAGGUAUCUUAAAUUAAGUUGUAUUAAUUCUCUUUGUCACUUUCCAAAGGUUAAAAUAUAAGUCAUAUAAUUUUCUUUGCCAUGGCUACUUCUUGCUUACGUUGGUAUCUACGUGUCUUGGAUAAACAUCCGUGGAAAACUCAGACAAUAACGACUGGAAUUCUAAUGGCAUGUGGGGACUUCAUCUGCCAGACAGUGGUGGAACAGAAAACAUUAAAAAACAUUGAAACUCGGAGGCUGGUUAGAUUUGCAUUUCUUGGGACCUGCUUUGUAGGACCAACACUUCGUAGCUGGUACUUGGUCCUUGAGAAAGUCUGUGGAGUCAGUGGAAAGACUGUAGGUCUACAGAAAAUGCUGCUGGACCAGGGCUUGUUUGUUCCUGUGUUUUUGGCAAACUUCCUCACAGUGAAUGGUCUACUACAGAACCAUUCGUGGAUUCAAAUUAAAGAGAAGCUGAAAAGAGAUUACUUUGAAGUGCUAAAGGCUAACUAUAUGGUAAGUCUACUUCGCUUUAUUAGCCGAAGGGGCUUGGAAAUAAAACAAGUUACAAAGCCUUUUGUUAUUUGAAAAAUCCCAUAGAUGUAACCAAGUUUAGUGAAUUCCAUUUAGGCAAUUACUCAGUGGAUCUCUGAAGGGUAUUAACAUGACAAGGGUACUUCAACAUUAAUCGAGACAUCCUGUAAGCUUUGGCCUGCAGCUCAGUUAUUCAACUUUUAUAUAGUGCCUUUUCAACAUAGAGUUAUGGUUGUCAACUUGGUGGCACUGUUCUGGAAUACC